UCCGUAGGUGAACCUGCGGAAGGAUCGUUAUUGAAUGAAUAUAGAGUUGGUUGUCGCUGGCUCCUCCGGGAGCAUGUGCACGCCUUCUCUUUCAUCCACACACACCUGUGCACUUGUGAGACGGAGGACCGUAAAAAAGUCUUCCGUCUAUUAAACCACACAAACCCCAUUGUAUUUAAAUUGAAUGUAAUUGAUGUAACGCAUCAUUAGAACUAAGUUUCAACAACGGAUCUCUUGGCUCUCGCAUCGAUGAAGAACGCAGCGAAAUGCGAUAAGUAAUGUGAAUUGCAGAAUUCAGUGAAUCAUCGAAUCUUUGAACGCACCUUGCGCUCCUUGGUAUUCCUUGGAGCAUGCCUGUUUGAGUAUCAUGAAAUUCUCAAAGUAAAUCUUUUGUUAAUUCAACUGGUUUGCUUUGGAUUUGGAGGUUUUGCAGAUUUCACAGUCUGCUCCUCUUAAAUAAAUUAGCUGGAUCUCAGUAUAUGCUUGGUUCCACUCGGCGUGAUAAGUAUCACUCGCUGAGGACACUGUAAAAAGGUGGCCAGGAAAUGCAGAUGAACUGCUUCUAAUGGUCCAUUAAAUUGGACAAAUUAAAUUUAUGAUCUGAUCUCAAAUCAGGUAGGACUACCCGCUGAACUUAAGCAUAUCAAUAAGCGGAGGA
rnacentral:rRNA from 1 species